rnacentral:rRNA from 1 species
UACGUAGGGGGCAAGCGUUGUCCGGAAUCAUUGGGCGUAAAGCGCGUGUAGGCGGCUCGAUAAGUCCGCUCUGAAAGUCCAGGGCUCAACCCUGGGAUGCGGGUGGAUACUGUCGGGCUCGAGUCCGGAAGAGGCGAGUGGAAUUCCCGGUGUAGCGGUGAAAUGCGCAGAUAUCGGGAGGAACACCAAUGGCGAAGGCAGCUCGCUGGGACGUGACUGACGCUGAGACGCGAAAGCGUGGGGAGCAAACAGG